rnacentral:rRNA from 1 species
UACGUAGGGGCCUAGCGUUGUCCGGAUUUAUUGGGCGUAAAGAGCUCGUAGGCGGUUCGGUAAGUCAGGUGUGAAAUCCCCACGCUCAACGUGGAGGCGCCACCUGAAACUGCCGUGACUCGAGUCCGGUAGGGGAGUGUGGAAUUCCUGGUGUAGCGGUGAAAUGCGCAGAUAUCAGGAGGAACACCGGUGGCGAAGGCGGCAUCCUGGACCAACACUGACGCUGAGGAGCGAAAGCCAGGGGAGCAAACGGG